GAUGGUACAAACAGACAUAACAAUACAUAAAUAGACAAACAUAUACACCACCACUGGGAGACCACAGAGGAUUUAUCCAAUGCCAAGUAAUCAUUUUAGGGAAAGGACCUGUAAAGUCAGAGCAGGUAUAACAUACAGGUAUAUGUAUAAAUCAGUCACUCCAUUUCCAUUUCAUUUGACUUCUGGCUGAGAGGAUCCGUGAGUGACAAGAGGAGCUCGAGAGGGGCAGAGUGAAGUGCAGUGUGGUUGCUGCUGUGUGACAGCCGCUGCAGGGAACACCAGGACGUCUGCCAGAACGAAAAGCAUCUUGCCAGGUUACAUAAUAGUUGGUAUUCAUGCGGGACCCAAUGUUGCUCCUGAUUGCUGAUUGCCUCUAAAGUAACAAAUUGCCUCUGAAUAAUGCUGUUGUAUUCCCAGCGUGGGUGCUUGAUCAUGCAAGGUAGAGUGUUGUGAACACAAAUGAAACGCAACGAGACCCAAACAAAGAUGCGGACGCUGGCCUGGGAAACCAGCGACAGCAGCAGGCAGCAACCAUGCGCUUUUAUACCGCCGGAACCCCCAGCUGCUCUCAAUCAGGUUGAUGGUAUCACCUCGGAGAAACACAAUGACAUCACAGACAUGAACCAAUAGGCAGGGCCGUCACAGGCGGCCACGGCCAAAUGAGUGAGUAGAGUCAGAGCUCAUUCACCCGCACAGCUGAUGAAAGGGAACCUCCAGCAGAGAAACACGGUUUCCUUGCCAACCCUCUCCUGAUGCCGAGGUCGGCUGAGGAGCGGCAUGCCUUGUCCACCUGGAUUAGCUCUCAUCAGCACCCGACGUCUGCCGAGCACUAAGCCUCGUUUAGCAUCAAUCGGCCAAUCAGUGGCUGUCUGGGUGUGCAGCUCCAAAAAAGAUCUUCUCCAAGACUCACUGGUCCAGUUUACAGUAGAGGUUCCGACUGUGCUGUCUAUCCUGAGCUCGGACUGCCCCCUGCUGGGCACACUCUGCCACGACAAAGCAGAAACAUCACGAUGUGUGAAACACACACAAAGUAGAAAACGAAGAUCUUACUUGGAUCAAUUGCAAAUGAUUGACAGCUCCACAGAGGAUCUUAAGACAUAGAUAAAGAAACUCGCAGAAACAAUAUGGAAUAUUCUUCAGAAAGAUAUUUUGCCCUCUGUUUGGUAAGUCUGAAAAGGCACUAAUAUUUCAAAGACUUA
ensembl:lncRNA